rfam:Sphingobacteriales bacterium 44-61 SCNpilot_expt_1000_bf_scaffold_77, whole genome shotgun sequence.
GAGAGUGGGCCUCUCGUAAUCGAAGUACAGGCUUUGGUUACAAACUGCUUCUAAGUUAUCACGGUUAAGCAGCCGUGGUGGCGAGCGUUAGAAGAAAAAGGCAUCGUAAGGUGUCCAUGU